rnacentral:sRNA from 2 species
UAAAAAGUCCUCUAGGGUUCCGCGGCGCUUAUGCUGGACUGGUCCGAGAGAGGGCGCACAGGGAUGCCUGUGUACACGGAGGGACAAAAACCCGGGAGAU